rnacentral:rRNA from 1 species
AACGAACGCUGGCGGCAGGCUUAACACAUGCAAGUCGAGCGCCCCGCAAGGGGAGCGGCAGACGGGUGAGUAACGCGUGGGAAUCUACCGAGCCCCGCGGAAUAGCUCCGGGAAGCUGGAAUUAAUACCGCAUACGCCCUACGGGGGAACGAUUUAUCGGGGUUUGAUGAGCCCGCGGUGGAUUAGCUAGUUGGUGGGGUAAGGGCCUACAAAGGCGACGAUCCAUAGCUGGUCUGAGAGGAUGAUCAGCCACAUUGGUACUGAGACACGGCCUAAACUCCUACGGCAGGCAGCAGUGGGGAAUAUUGGACAAUGGGGGCAACUCUGAUCCAGCCAUGCCGCGUGAGUGAUGAAGGCCUUAGGGUUGCAAAGCUCUUUCACCGGUGAAGAUAAUGACGGUAACCGGAGAAGAAGCCCCGGCUAACUUCGUGCCAGCAGCCGCCGUAAUAC